UACAGAGGGGGCAAGCGUUGUUCGGAAUUACUGGGCGUAAGGGGCGCGUAGGCGGCCUGUUAAGUCGAACGUGAAAUCCCCGGGCUCAACCCGGGAACUGCGUCCGAUACUGGCAGGCUUGAAUCCGGGAGAGGGAUGCGGAAUUCCAGGUGUAGCGGUGAAAUGCGUAGAUAUCGGGAGGAACACCGGUGGCGAAGGCGGUUCUCUGGGCCUUACCUGACGCUGAGGAGCGAAAGCGUGGGGAGCGAACAGG
rnacentral:rRNA from 1 species